CGUAGGGUGCGAGCGUUAAUCGGAAUUACUGGGCGUAAAGCGUGCGCAGGCGGUUUUGUAAGACAGAUGUGAAAUCCCCGGGCUCAACCUGGGACCUGCAUUUGUGACUGCAAGGCUAGAGUACGGUAGAGGGGGAUGGAAUUCCGCGUGUAGCAGUGAAAUGCAUAGAUAUGCGGAGGAACACCGAUGGCGAAGGCAAUCCCCUGGACCUGUACUGACGCUCAUGCACGAAAGCGUGGGGAGCAAACAGGAUUAGAUACCCUGGUAGUCCACGCCCUAAACGAUGUCAACUGGUUGUUGGGUCUUUACUGACUCAGUAACGAAGCUAACGCGUGAAGUUGACCGCCUGGGGAGUACGGCCGCAAGGUUG
rnacentral:rRNA from 1 species